rnacentral:rRNA from 1 species
AUUGAACGCUGGCGGCAGGCUUAACACAUGCAAGUCGAGCGGAGAUGAGGUGCUUGCACCUUAUCUUAGCGGCGGACGGGUGAGUAAUGCUUAGGAAUCUGCCUAUUAGUGGGGGACAACAUUCCGAAAGGAAUGCUAAUACCGCAUACGUCCUACGAGAGAAAGCAGGGGAUCUUCGGACCUUGCGCUAAUAGAUGAGCCUAAGUCGGAUUAGCUAGUUGGUGGGGUAAAGGCCUACCAAGGCGACGAUCUGUAGCGGGUCUGAGAGGAUGAUCCGCCACACUGGGACUGAGACACGGCCCAGACUCCUACGGGAGGCAGCAGUGGGGAAUAUUGGACAAUGGGCGGAAGCCUGAACCAGCCAUGCCGCGUGUGUGAAGAAGGCCUUUUGGUUGUAAAGCACUUUAAGCGAGGAGGAGGCUACCUAGAUUAAUACUCUGGGAUAGUGGACGUUACUCGCAGAAUAAGCACCGGCUAACUCUGUGCCAGCCGCCGCGGUAAAAC